GACGAACCGUGCGAACGUUGUUCGGAAUCACUGGGCUUAAAGGGCGCGUAGGCGGCCUUCUAAGUCAGACGUGAAAUCCCCAGGCUUAACUUGGGAACUGCGUCUGAUACUGGGAGGCUUGGGUGCGGGAGAGGGAUGUGGAAUUCCAGGUGUAGCGGUGAAAUGCGUAGAUAUCUGGAGGAACACCGGUGGCGAAGGCGGCAUCCUGGACCGGUAUUGACGCUGAGGCGCGAAAGCCAGGGGAGCAAACGGG
rnacentral:rRNA from 1 species